CCACCCUUGGUCUAAUGGUUAGGAUAUCUGCCUUCCAAGCAGAUGGUCCGGGUUCAAUUCCCGGACGGUGCA
rnacentral:tRNA from 1 species